GAUGAACGCUAGCUACAGGCUUAACACAUGCAAGUCGAGGGACCGGCGCACGGGUGAGUAACACGUAUCCAACCUGCCCUUUACUCGGGGAUAGCCUUUCGAAAGAAAGAUUAAUACCCGAUAUAAAGGAUGGGGAUGCGUUCCAUUAGGUUGUUGGUGAGGUAACGGCCCACCAAGCCUUCGAUGGAUAGGGGUUCUGAUAGGAAGGCCCCCCACAAUGGAAAUGAGACCCGGUCCAAACGCGGACGCGAGGCAGGAGAGAGGUAUACUGGGCAAUGGGCUUUAGCCUGAACCAGCCAAGUAGCGGAAAGAAUGAAGGCUUAUGGGUCGUAAACUACUGUUAUAUAAGAAGAUGUAUUAUAUGAAUAAGGAUCGGCUAACUCCGUGCCAGCAGCCGCGGUAAUAC
rnacentral:rRNA from 1 species